rnacentral:rRNA from 1 species
UAUAGUUUAUUUGAUAAUUGAAUUCUACUUGGAUAACCGUGGUAAUUCUAGAGCUAAUACAUGCAGUAAAACCUGACUUUUUGGAAAGGUUGUAUUUAUUAGAUAUCAAACCAAUAUUCCUUCGGGUCUAUUGUGAUGAUUCAUAAUAACUGAUCGAAGCUUAGCUAGUCUAAGCUAAAUCAUUCAAGUUUCUGCCCUAUCAGCUUUCGAUGGUAGUGUAUUGGACUACCAUGGCAGUCACGGGUAACGGGGAAUUAGGGUUCGAUUCCGGAGAGGAAGCCUGAGAAACGGCUACCACA